rnacentral:misc_RNA from 1 species
AACGCACAUUGCGCCCGCUAGUAUUCUGGCGGGCAUGCCUGUUCGAGCGUCAUUUCAACCCUCAAGCCUCGCGGCUUGGUGUUGGGGACACCUACGGCAGCUCUUGCCGUAGGCCCCGAAAUCCAGUGGCGGGCCCGACGAGACCCCGAGCGCAGUAGCACACCUUCUCGCUUAGGGCGUCCCGGCGGGCGACCAGCCGUAAAACCAGCACCUCUCUUCCACGCGGAGGGGGGGCUACUUCUCAAGGUUGACCUCGGAUCAGGUAGGAAUACCCGCUGAACUUAA